rnacentral:rRNA from 1 species
GAUAUGGCUCAGGAUGAACGCUAGCUACAGGCUUAACACAUGCAAGUCGAGGGGAAACGAUAUUGGAAGCUUGCUUCCGAUAGGCGUCGACCGGCGCACGGGUGAGUAACGCGUAUCCAACCUGCCCAUCACUUGGGAAUAACCUUGCGAAAGUAAGACUAAUGCCCAAUGACAUUUAUAGAAGGCAUCGGAAAUGAAUUAAAAAUUUAUCGGUGAUGGAUGGGGAUGCGUCUGAUUAG